rnacentral:rRNA from 1 species
CCUACGGGCGGCUGCAGUGGGGAAUAUUAGAAAUGGACGAAAGUCUGAUCUAGCAACACCGCGUGUGCGAAGAAGGCCUUCGGGUCGUAAAGCACUUUUUGGAAGGAAUAGGAAGGAAUGUACUUCCAGAAUAAGUCUCGGCUAACUACGUGCCAGCAGCCGCGGUAACACGUAGGAGGCAAACGUUAUCCGGAUUUACUGGGCGUAAAGCGCGUGUAGGUGGUACUGUAAGUAGGGCGUGAAAGCUCCUGGCUCAACUGGGAGAGGCCGUUCUAAACUACAGAACUAGAGGAUGGUAGAGGGAGGUGGAAUUCCAGGUGUAGCGGUGGAAUGCGCAGAUAUCUGGAGGAACACCGGUGGCGAAGGCGGCCUCCUGGACCAUUCCUGACACUCAGACGCGAAAGCUAGGGUAGCAAACGGGCUUAGAUACCCCGGUAGUC